CAGCAGCCGCGGGAAUACGGAGGGGGCUAGCGUUGUUCGGAAUUACUGGGCGUAAAGCGUACGUAGGCGGCUUUGUAAGUUAGAGGUGAAAGCCUGGUGCUCAACACCAGAACUGCCUUUAAGACUGCAUCGCUUGAACGUCGGAGAGGUGAGUGGAAUUCCGAGUGUAGAGGUGAAAUUCGUAGAUAUUCGGAAGAACACCAGUGGCGAAGGCGGCUCACUGGACGACUGUUGACGCUGAGGUACGAAAGCGUGGGGAGCAAACAGGAUUAGAUACCCCGUAGUCCCUGUCUCUUAUACA
rnacentral:rRNA from 1 species